AGUGAACGCUGGCGGUAGGCCUAACACAUGCAAGUCGAACGGCAGCACAGUAAGAGCUUGCUCUUACGGGUGGCGAGUGGCGGACGGGUGAGGAAUACAUCGGAAUCUACUUUUUCGUGGGGGAUAACGUAGGGAAACUUACGCUAAUACCGCAUACGACCUACGGGUGAAAGCAGGGGAUCUUCGGACCUUGCGCGAUUGAAUGAGCCGAUGUCGGAUUAGCUAGUUGGCGGGGUAAAGGCCCACCAAGGCGACGAUCCAUAGCUGGUCUGAGAGGAUGCAUGGCCCCCCAUGAAGGGACAGAGCCGCGGAACCCAGUGGGGAGGGAGGCGGGGGUAAGGUGUAAAGAUGGGCGCGAGCCUGACCGAGCCAGCCCGCGUGGGUGAAGGAGGCCUGCGGGUUGGAAAGUCAUUUUUUUGGGAAAAAAAAUAAGCAUGUUAACCACCCGGUGUUUGGAGGUAACCCAAAAAAAAGCCACGGCUAACUUCGUG
rnacentral:rRNA from 1 species